GGUAGCGAAAUUCCUUGUCGGGUAAGUUCCGACCCGCACGAAUGGCGUAACGAUGGCCACACUGUCUCCUCCCGAGACUCAGCGAAGUUGAAGUGGUUGUGAAGAUGCAAUCUACCCGCUGCUAGACGGAAAGACCCCGUGAACCUUUACUGUAGCUUUGCAUUGGACUUUGAAGUCACUUGUGUAGGAUAGGUGGGAGGCUUAGAAGCAGAGACGCCAGUCUCUGUGGAGCCGUCCUUGAAAUACCACCCUGGUGUCUUUGAGGUUCUAACCCAGACCCGUAAUCCGGGUCGGGGACCGUGCAUGGUAGGCAGUUUGACUGGGGCGGUCUCCUCCCAAAGAGUAACGGAGGAGUUCGAAGGUUACCUAGGUCCGGUCGGAAAUCGGACUGAUAGUGCAAUGGCAAAAGGUAGCUUAACUGCGAGACCGACAAGUCGAGCAGGUGCGAAAGCAGGACAUAGUGAUCCGGUGGUUCUGUAUGGAAGGGCCAUCGCUCAACGGAUAAAAGGUACUCCGGGGAUAACAGGCUGAUUCCGCCCAAGAGUUCAUAUCGACGGCGGAGUUUGGCACCUCGAUGUCGGCUCAUCACAUCCUGGGGCUGUAGUCGGUCCCAAGGGUAUGGCUGUUCGCCAUUUAAAGUGGUACGUGAGCUGGGUUUAAAACGUCGUGAGACAGUUUGGUCCCUAUCUGCAGUGGGCGUUGGAAGUUUGACGGGGGCUGCUCCUAGUACGAGAGGACCGGAGUGGACGAACCUCUGGUGUACCGGUUGUAACGCCAGUUGCAUAGCCGGGUAGCUAAGUUCGGAAGAGAUAAGCGCUGAAAGCAUCUAAGCGCGAAACUCGCCUGAAGAUGAGACUUCCCUUGCGGUUUAACCGCACUAAAGAGUCGUUCGAGACCAGGACGUUGAUAGGUGGGGUGUGGAAGCGCGGUAACGCGUGAAGCUAACCCAUACUAAUUGCUCGUGAGGCUUGACUCU
rnacentral:rRNA from 1 species